CCUACGGGGCGCUGCAGUGAGGAAUAUUGGUCAAUGGGCGCGAGCCUGAACCAGCCAAGCAGCGUGAAGGAUGAAUGCUCUACGGGUGGUAAACUUCUUUUAUAAAGGAAUAAAGUGAGGCAAGUGUGCCUUUUUGCAUGUACUUUAUGCAUACGGACCGGCUAACUCCGUGCCAGCAGCCGCGGUAAGUCGGAGGAUCCGAGCGUUAUACGGAUUUAUUGGGUGUAAAGGGAGCGUAGAUGGGUUGUUAAGGCAGUUGUGAAAGGUUGCGGCUGAACCGGAAAAUUGCAAUUGAUACUGGGAGUCUUGAGUACAGGUGAGGUAGGCGGAAUUCGUGGUGUAGCGGUGAAAUGCGUAGAUAUCACGAAGAACACCGAUUGCGAAGGCAGCCUGCUAAAAUGCAACUGACAUUGAUGCUCGAAAGUGUGGGUAGCAAACAGGAUUAGAUACCCGAGUAGUC
rnacentral:rRNA from 1 species